rnacentral:rRNA from 1 species
GAUGAACGCUAGCGGCAGGCUUAAUACAUGCAAGUCGAGGGACAGCACAGGUAGCAAUACUGGGUGGUAACCGGCAAACGGGUGCGGAACACGUACACAACCUUCCUUUAAGUGGGGGAUAGCCCAGAGAAAUUUGGAUUAAUACCCCGUAAUAUAGUUGAAUGGCAUCAUUUGAUUAUUAUAGCUACGGCGCUUAAUGAUGGGUGGGCGGCUGAUUAGAUAGUUGGCGGGGUAACGGCCCACCAAGUCUACGAUCAGUAGCUGAUGUGAGAGCAUGAUCAGCCACACGGGCACUGAGACACGGGCCCGACUCCUACGGGAGGCAGCAGUAAGGAAUAUUGGUCAAUGGACGCAAGCCUGAACCAGCCAUGCCGCGUGAAGGAUUAAGGCCCUCUGGAUUGUAAACUUCUUUUAUUUGGGACGAAAAAGGGCCUUUCUAGGUCAACUGACGGUACCAGAUGAAUAAGCACCGGCUAACUCCGUGCCAGCAGCCGCCGUAAUAC